AAGAAAUUAGGAGAGUAGGCAGUGAAAGCAAACAGAAAGAGAAAAGCCGAGAGUGGAAAUCAUAGAAUGCGAGGCAGAAAGAAGUGGAAGACUGAAUCCGAGAAAAGGAAAGAGCAGAGGUGUCGGUGGCAAGCCAAACUAAGGAAGUCGGACGGAUUGUUGACCCGAUAAAUAGCUGAAAGCAGAGAAGCGUCGAAGAGAGAGCAGCGGCAGAGAGGAGGGAGUUUGGAGAUUGGAUGUUCUAGGGAGCUUGGGAACGGAUUUUGAGAGUGGGAAGUGUUGGCUCACUAACUGGAUUGCCUACUGCAAAAGGUUAAAUUGCAUCAGAUUCCAUGGUACCUGAACCUUUGAUGUUUCGCUAAUGGCAACCUCCAGGAUUUUACUCUCAUUCCUCCGUCGUUCUCGUCAUCUAUCUUCUGUCUCCGCUUUCUCUCCAGUGCCUCAAUCUCUUGCCCUCUCUAACUCUCACCUUCUCUCAUCACCAUAUCAACAUCGCUUGCCCCCGUCCCUUGAUUCUCUUCAGCCCUUUUACUUCUCUCUUUCCCGCUUUUUUUCGGUUCAAUCUGAAGAUGGCUCUGAGUUUACGCGACUUUGUAAUGGUGAUGACUCAGCUGCUGUCUCCAUUCCCCACUUGGAUUCUGGUAAUGUAGGGUUUGCGGAGGUUAGUGACGCAAUUGCAAAUGCUAGCGGUGAAGAGUCGGUUUUGCCCAUUUACAUGCUGAUUUCGUUGCUUGAUGGUUACCAUGGGCUCACUGGUUUGCCUUGGUGGAUUGUUAUAGCUUCAUCCACUGUGGCUCUCAGAAUUGCAUUGCUGCCCAUGCUUAUAUUGCAACUUCAGAAAUUGAAACGAAUUUCAGAAUUGUUUCCUAAAUUGCCUCCUCCAUUGCCACCACCUCAAUCAGGAAGGAGUUAUAUUGAACAACUUUCUCUUUUUCGGAAAGAAAGGCGAGCAAUUGGGUGUCCGUCAUUUUUAUGGUUUGUUGCAUAUUUCUCCAUCCAGGUUCCAUGCUUUCUAUUGUGGAUGACUAGUAUACGGAGAAUGUCAUUGGAUCAUCAUCCUGGAUUUGAUAAUGGCGGUGCUUUAUGGUUCCAGAAUUUGACAGAAUUUCCUCAUGGUGUUUUAGGGCCUAUCUUUCCACUGAUGAUUGCUUGUUUGCAUUACACUAAUGUUCAGAUUUCUUUUAGGACAUCUUCAAUUCCGAAAGAUACUGGUCUCUUUGGCUUAUUAGCAAAGUACUACAAAUUCUAUCUGGAUCUUCUGACACUACCUUUAAUCUUCAUUUGCUACUGUAUUCCUCAGGGAAGUCUUGUCUACUGGAUUACAAACAGUUCAUUGAGUUGCAUACAGCAAUUAUCUCUCAAACACCCUGCUGUACGUGCAAAAUUGGGCUUACCAAUUAAUAGUACUCCAAGAGCAGCUGCGAAGUCUGAAGAAGUGGUUACAGCUGAAAUAAGAUCUUCAGGUUCACCCUCAAAGGGGCGCAGGAUUCCUGUAAAAGACCUAAGCCCUAAAGAACUGCUUGGUUUGGUCUUGUUGACAGCUCUCAGUGAUACACUUAUCAAAAGGGGACAAAGAAAGAGCAAUUCCUUUGCUACAAUUGGCUCUUGACAAAGAUCCUGGAUGCGUAAGAGCUAUGGUCAUAAUGGGACAGACUCUUUUCCAGCAAGGACUACUGGCAGAGGCUGCUGAAUGUUUGGAGCGUGCUAUUUCCAAGCUUUUGGAUUGAUGUGGCGGCACCACAAAUCCCACCAUUUCUCUUCCCAGCUUAAUUUACGCCUGCAAGCUAUUCCUUUUUGGCCAUCCGGCUGAAGUUGAAGAUGUGGAUCUUUUAAUUCAGGCAUCUCAAUGGGCUGGUGUUGCCUUAUAUAAGCAGGUGAAG